GCCUGAUUGGUAUAGUAGUAGUAAUUCUACCUAUUGCGCAGGGGUCGUGGGUUCGAUUCCCGCACAAGACA